GACGAACGCUGGCGGCGUGCUUAACACAUGCAAGUCGAACGGAAAGGCCCUGCUUUUGUGGGGUGCUCGAGUGGCGAACGGGUGAGUAACACGUGAGUAACCUGCCCUUGACUUUGGGAUAACUUCAGGAAACUGGGGCUAAUACCGGAUAGGAGCUCCUGCUGCAUGGUGGGGGUUGGAAAGUUUCGGCGGUUGGGGAGGGACGCGCGGCUUAUCAGCUUGUUGGUGGGGUAGUGGCUUACCAAGGCUUUGACGGGUAGCCGGCCUGAGAGGGUGACCGGCCACAUUGGGAAUGAGAUACGGCCCAGACUCCUACGGGAGGAAGCAGUGGGGAAUAUUGCACAAUGGGCGGAAGCCGGAUGCAGCAACGCCGCGUGCGGGAUGACGGCCUUCGGUUUGUAAACCGCUUUGGCCGGGAACGAAGCGUGAGUGACGGUAAUGGGUAAAGAAGCACCGGCUAACUACGUG
rnacentral:rRNA from 1 species